rnacentral:rRNA from 1 species
GAUGAACGCUGGCGGCGUGCCUAAUACAUGCAAGUCGAGCGAACAGACGAGGAUCUUGCUCCUCUGACGUUAGCGGCGGACGGGUGAGUAACACGUGGAUAACCUACCUAUAUGACUGGGAUAACUUCGGGAAACCGGAGCUAAUACCGGAUAAUAUAUUGAACCGCAUGGUUCAAUAGUGAAAGACUGUUUUGCUGUCACUUAUAUAUGUAUCCGCGCCGCAUUAGCUAGUUGGUAAGGUAACGGGUUACCAAGGCAACGAUGCGUAGCCGACCUGAGAGAGUGAUCGGCCACACUGGGACUGAGACACGGUCCAGACUCCUACGGGAGGCAGCAGUAGGGAAUCUUCCGCAAUGGGAGAAAGCCUGACGGAGCAACGGCGCGUGAGUGAUGAAGGUCUUCGGAUCGUAAAACUCUGUUAUUAGGGAAGAACAAAUGUGUAAGUAACUAUGCAAGUCUUGACGGUACCUAAUCAGAAAGCCACGGCUAACUACGUG